rnacentral:rRNA from 1 species
AGAGUUUGAUCCUGGCUCAGGAUGAACGCUGGCGGUAUGCCUAACACAUGCAAGUCGAACGGUCUCUUCGGAGACAGUGGCGGACGGGUGAGUAACACGUGAGAAUCUGCCUUUUGGUCGGGGAUAACAGUGGGAAACGACUGCUAAUACCGGAUGAGCCUACGGGUAAAAAAUUUAUUGCCAAAAGAAGAGCUCGCGCCUGAUUAGCUAGAUGGUGGGGUAAAAGCCUACCAUGGCGACGAUCAGUAGCUGGUCUGAGAGGAUGAGCAGCCACACUGGGACUGAGACACGGCCCAGACUCCUACGGGAGGCAGCAGUGGGGAAUUUUCCGCAAUGGGCGAAAGCCUGACGGAGCAAUACCGCGUGAGGGAGGAAGGCUCUUGGGUCGUAAACCUCAAAACUUAGGGAAGAAGAAAGUGACGGUACCUAAUAUAAGCAUCGGCUAACUCCGUGCCAGCAGCCGCGGUAAUACGGAGGAUGCGAGCGUUAUCCGGAAUCAUUGGGCGUAAAGAGUCUGUAGGUGGCACUUCAAGUCUGCUGUCAAAGACUGAAGCUUAACUUCGGGCAGGCGGUGGAAACUGAAGAGCUAGAGUAAAGCAGGGGUAGAGGGAAUUCCCAGUGUAGCGGUGAAAUGCGUAGAGAUUGGGAAGAACACCAGUGGCGAAGGCGCUCUACUGGGCUAAAACUGACACUGAGAGACGAAAGCUAGGGUAGCGAAAGGGAUUAGAUACCCCUGUAGUCCUAGCGGUAAACGAUGGAUACUAGGCGUAGACCCAUUUAGAUGGGACUGUGUCGAAGCAAACGCGUUAAGUAUCCCGCCUGGGGAGUACGCACGCAAGUGUGAAACUCAAAGGAAUUGACGGGGACCCGCACAAGCGGUGGAGUAUGUGGUUUAAUUCGAUGCAAUGCGAAGAACCUUACCAAGGCUUGACAUCCCACGAAUUUUGCCGAGAGGUGAAAGUGCCUAGGGAACGUGGAGACAGGUGGUGCAUGGCUGUCGUCAGCCCGUGUCGUGAGAUGUUGGGUUAAGUCCCGCAACGAGCGCAACCCUCGUCCUUAGUUGCCAGCAUUAAGUUGGGGACUCUAGGGAGACCGCCGGGGAAAACUCGGAGGAAGGUGAGGAUGACGUCAAGUCAGCAUGCCCCUUAUGUCUUGGGCUACACACGUACUACAAUGGUUGGGACAAAGGGAAGCAAAGCCGCGAGGUGGAGCGAAUCUCAUCAAACCCAGCCUCAGUUCAGAUUGCAGGCUGAAACUCGCCUGCAUGAAGGAGGAAUCGCUAGUAAUCGCAGGUCAGCAUACUGCGGUAAAUCCGUUCCCGGGUCUUGUACACACCGCCCGUCACACCAUGGAAGUUGGUCACGCCCGAAGUCGUUACUCUAACCGAAAGGAGGGGGACGUCGAAGGUGGGACUAGUGACUGGGGU